GCUCCCCUGAGUUAUACGUGAUAAGUGAUCAUUUUUUUGAGCCAACACCUUUUAACUUAUAGAGUGACAGCUUAAAUCCGGUGUGAAUCGUUCUCUAGGGGAUAAUCCUAAAGGAUUUAUGGUCACUGAUAUUAAGAUUUAAGGUUCAAAGAAAGCACCUACACGGUAAUCCGGGGGGGAC
rnacentral:other from 1 species